GCCAGGGACAGCCCGCCAACCCCUCCUCCCCCGCCUCGUCCUCCUCCCCUCCCCUCCCCUCCCCAUGUCCCCUCCAGUGAAGCCUACGGUCGAAGCCUGGAUUAGGCGCCGCGAAAACGCGGGGCUCGGGCGGGUGCUCCCCGAGAUCGCAGCCUGGGAGCGAGGUGCCUGCGGAGGCCAGGGCAGCCUCCCCCUCUCCCCCGCUCGGGAGGGCACUUCAUUCAGGCCUGAGGAGCCGCUGCGUUAAACCUUGGAACCUGGUGGAAACUGAGGCACAGGGAAGGGAAGACCUGGCGGUGCAGGAGUCCGUGGCCCGCGCUGACCUCCAGCCUGUCUCUAAAGUACCGCAUCUGCCUCCAGAAACUGGCCCAUCAGCAUCCCGGCCAGGGGAAACAGGAUGGGCCAAAAACAAGAUGCUGUGGCCCUUUGACAGUUGGGGGAACCCAAACCCUGGGAAGUGAAGGUUCUUGCAAAUGCUUAGCACCAGUUCCCAGCAGAGCUGAGAAGCAAACGCAGGAGUCCUGCCCCAGCCUGGAAGACUGAGGCCACCCCAGGCUUCUCGCACAUGUUUGAGUAUCCGCCGACCUGAUGUAUUUAUUACACAGAGACAGAGAGGCAGAGACACAGGCAGAGGGUGAAGCAGGCUCCAUGGAGAGAGCCCGACGUGGGACUCGAUCCCGGGUCCCCAGGAUCAUGCCCUGGGCUGAAGGCAGGCGCUAAACCGCUGAGCCACCCGGGCUGCCCGAUUUCACCUUUUCAAUCAGAGAAAGUGCAAAUGCGAGGUGUCCUGAAAAAGGGACGUGUUCCUGCAGAUGUGGGAGGAAGGAGGAUGUCUGGAAGCCAGAACUACCCUCCUCCUCACGUUGUCAAGGUGAGAUCUGUUGGGAGGGGUUGUUUACAUCUGCCCUGGCUGCCACACUUCCUUGCACGCCCAGGCUUGCACACCGCUCCCUCAACUUUCAGAUCUCACCGCGCAUCUUGAUUUAUGGCAUCUUUGGCUUCCCGAGGAGUUGCGUUUGUUUUUCAGCCCUUGGAAGAACAAAGCUGAGGUUUGUGUUAGUGUAGGGAUGCUCAGAUUUGUUCUUUUACAAGCUCCAGAGGUCAGAAUGGAUCAGCAGGGCUGCAGGCUGCGUUGCCCCGCCUGUUCCACCUCCAGCGGCCACCUGCAUUGUCUGGCUCAGGACCCUUCCUUCAUUCCAAAGUCAGCGCAGGACUUCAGAUCUCUGACCUUUACUUCUGUUGUCACGCCUCCGACUGAUUUUCCAGCCUCCCUCUUCCUCGUAGGAACCUUGUGAUUGCCUUGGCCCCACCCAGAUCAUCCAGGAUAAUCUCACCCUUCUAGAGCCUUAAUGUGAAGUUUCUGAAGCAUCCGCACGUCCCUUUUACCAUAUAAGAACUGCAGUCAUCACAUGAAGUCCUCAAGACGUGCCUGUGGGCCGACCUCUCCUGACCGCAGGGCCCCAGCAGGUGCAGCGGAACGGCCAGGAGAGGGAGCCGCACCUGGGUGCCAGGUGGCCGCUGUGCCGCUGCGGAGAGCCCGGAAGGGCACGUCCGACGCCUCACGUCCUCCUGGCUGGGCAGGCCGGGUCCCGGGAGAGAGGGACAGAUGGCCCCGGUGCAGAGUUAAAAGGGCACAUACAUCAGUCUUCCUGACUCGGAGGGCCUAGGAAAAUCCAUGGCAUUAGAACUCGGCAUUUGCAAACAAGCACAAAGAUCCUCAGAUUUUAGGCUGAGUUCCAGGGCCAUGUGACAAGUAUCUGUGACUACUCGGUUCUCAGAUUGAGAGCUUUGAGCACUCAAGGAAGGGAAACAAUAUCUGCAAAAUGCGAGUAACGUGGGAUCGGGUCUGCCUCCUUCAGCUCUUGGCAGGCACGGGUGAUAUUCCCCAGGGGAGAGGCAUGUUACGUCCUCAGGGCUGCAUCUCGUACUCCCAUCGGCAGCCACAGCAAAGCCCAAGACCUCGAGGGCCAUGUCCCUGCAGUCUCGGGCAUUUCUGAAAUGCUGGAGCCCUGAGUGGAAGGGUGGGGGUGGCUAAUUCUAAUUCUAGACCAAGACUCACAUAUGUUGCAAGCUUUCAAUAAACAUUAGCAGGUCAACCAUGAAAAAAAGGACCUAACAGAAGUAGAAAGCAAAGCUAGCAUUACCCACCAGCCCUUGAGAAAAAUAUAUUUUAAAGUGAGGUUCCUGGGGCGCCUGGGUAGCUCAGUGGUUGAGCGUCUGCCUUUGGCUCAGGGCGUGAUCCUGGGGUCCUGGGAUCGAGUCCCGCAUCGGGCUCCCCG